UGGGGCAUAGCUCAGUUGUAGAAUACAUUCUUAGCAUGUAUGAGGUCCCGGUUCAAUCCCCAGCUCCAA
rnacentral:tRNA from 1 species